rnacentral:rRNA from 1 species
CAAUAGCGUAUAUUAAAGUUGUUGCAGUUAAAAAGCUCGUAGUUGGAUUUCUGGUUGAAGCGACCGGUCGGGCGUCGAUUCGUCUGCACUGGAGUCGGUUUUGGCCAUCCUCUAGGAAAGUGCGUCUGGUAUUAAGUUAUCGGGCGUAUGAUCCUGGUCUUUUACUGUGAAAAAAUUAGAGUGUUUAAAGCAGGCCUUCGCCUUGAAUACAUUAGCAUGGAAUAAUAAGAUAGGACUUUGGUCUAUUUUGUUGGUUUGCAGACCGAAGUAAUGAUUAAUAGGGAUAGUUGGGGGUAUUUAUAUUCCGAUGUCAGAGGUGAAAUUCUUAGAUUUUCGGAAGAUAAACUUAUGCGAAAGCAUUUACCAAGGAUGUUUNCAUUAA